UAGCCUCCAAGAACAUUGACU
rnacentral:piRNA from 1 species